rnacentral:ncRNA from 1 species
UAUGGAGAGGGCGAUGAGGCUCGCCCUUGACCGCACAUCCUGUGCUGAUGGCCUCUACCUCUCC